rnacentral:lncRNA from 1 species
GUCUUUUUAUUUUUUUAAGGGGAGAAAAGAUUUUUUUCUAUCCUGUUUGAGGACCACCCAUGAGCCUUUUUAUUUUGGAUCUCUUAAUCCUGACAGGACAGAGAAAGGAGACAUGUUGCCUUUAGCAGUCCUUUGGACUCUCAUGGGUUUUCCUUCCAAAAGGUCUUUUCUGCUCAGAUACCUUACUCCUCAUACUAUCUCACAAGUGAGUAUUUUUUUUUUUUUUUUUUUUUUUUGGCUAAGGCAACUGGGAUUAAGUGACUUGCCCAGGAUCAUACAGCUAGGAUUUAAGUGUCUGAGAUCAGAUUUGAACUCAGAUCCUCCUGACUUCAGGGCUGGUGCAGUAUUCACUAGGCCACCUAGCUUCCCCCUGUGAUAUUAUUUUUUAGCCUAGGUAUAAGAUUUUAUAUUUACCACUGCUGAAUUUCAUUGUAUUAGAUUUUGUACAUGCAUUUCUUUGAAACUUGACUCAAUCAUACAAUGUUACCCAUUUCUCUCAGUUUUAUGUGGCUUCCAAAAAUUUGAUGAGCAUGUCAGCAAGUUCAAUGAUUGCAAAGUAUCUUCCUUAUUUUCCACAUCAUGUGAAAUUUCCACUAUAAUUUAUCUUGUAUAUUCUGAUUUCUAUAUUUUGUAUCUUCCUCAUUACAAUAUAAAUUCCUUGAAGGCAGGAAUUAUUUUUUGCUUUUUCUUUGAUCCCUAGCACUUCACUCUACUUGGCACAAAGUUAGUAUUCAAUAAAUACUUUUUGAUUAAUUGAUUGAUCAAAUGUAAAAAUAUAUGUUUUCAUCACAAAUUAAAAAUAUGUUUUUUUACAGCAGGGUUCUUAAAUUUUUUCUACUCCUAAUCUCUUUUCACCCAAGAAAUGUUUAUGUGACCCCAGGUAUAGGUAUAUAAAAUAGGUAUACAAACCAAACAUUUGCUGAUAACAAAUCAUAAUUUCACAACUCCAACAUUCAGUUACAAGACCCCUUGGAGGGUCAUGAACCACAGAUUAAGAAGCUUGUUUUUACAGUGCGAUAAAUCUACUAGAAUAGCUUCAUUCUUGGUAUUUCAUUUUGUUGUUGUUCAAUCAUUUAAGUUGAGUACUACUCUUUCAGACCUCCUAUGAAAUUUUCUUGGAAAAAGAUAGUAAAGUAGUUUUACAUUUCCUUCUGCAAUUCAUCUCACAGAUGAGAAAACUGAGGAAAACUGGGUUAAGCGCUCAGGAUCACAGUUAGUAAGUGAAUGAGGUUAGAUUUGAACUCAUGAAGAUGAGUUCUCCUGUCGUCAGGCCUGACACUAUACACUGAGCCACCUAACUGAGUAUUUCGUGUUAAAUUUGGAAAAUAUGUCAUAGUUUUUCUGUCUCCCCAUUUAUUUUAACAUUUCUAGAGAUGUCUAUCGAAUACCCUUCUCAGAUGCUUCAUGAUCAGUGCCUGGAUUUUCAAAGCUUAUGGCCAUCAGAAUGAAAGGUUUGGCAAGUUCUACUCUGUUGGAAAGAUUUCUGAUAUGAACCCAAUUGCCUGUAUCUGUUCUCAGAGGACCAGUGAGCUGUUGAUUGAUUUUUAUUUUUGGACAUAGCAACUCAUUUUAGAGAGCUUGAAAUCCAUUUUCUAACUCUCAAAAGCCCCAUUGAUCUUCCUCUUUAUUGGAUCCCUCUCCCACUACCUUUAGACAUGUCCUCCCUUUUGAAUUCUUUUAAAUUCUAAAUUCUUUUUUUUUUUUUAAAAGAAGAAAAUAAGCCUUUGCUUCACAAAGCUCCAUGACAUGUAGAAAGCUGAUACAAAUCUGUAAGACCCAAACAAUUCAGAGAUUUAGAGACAGAAGGGACCUCA